rnacentral:lncRNA from 1 species
ACAGACGGCGCCAACUGAUGGGGGUGAAACCCGACCAGUACUCCAAGACGCGCAAGCAAGCGCCAAGCGGGGAACUCCGUGGGAAACCGGACCGGAACUCAAGUGCGCAGAGCUCUGCUUCGCUAGGAAUCCUUUCUCUCCAAAUGACCUGCCUUUAAUGAGCGGGGGGUGCCCUCUAUUUAUAGGGGUUCUUAUGGGGGUAAUAUGGUCAUUUUGGCAGUAACCGCCUAAC